UUUCCGUUCAUCAAAUUCUUCACAAAAAUAUCAAACCCUUCCUCGAAUUCUAAGCCAAUGGCCUAAAUAGAACAAAAUCUCUCUCUUUUUUGUUGUUGUUGCACAUCGUUAUCGUCGUGGUCUCGUUUUCGCUCGUCUUUGUGUUCUUCAAUGGCCUCUCUCUCAGGCAUUUGUCCUUCUUCCCCUUCUUUGAAGCCUGAGCAUGACCGAGUCGGUAAACUCAGUCCUUCGUUUCGCAAAGACGCACUCGCAUUCUCAGCUCGCUCCAACUCCAACUCCAAGCUCUCCGUGGCUCGUGAAGUGUACGCCGAUUUGUCGAAAACCAACAACGUAGGCGUCCUGAAGAAGGCCAAGCAAGGUGGACUCGAGAAAGAUCCUAAAGCGCUUUGGAGGAGGUACGUUGACUGGUUGUACCAGCACAAGGAGCUUGGGUUGUACCUCGAUGUCAGUAGGAUCGGGUUCUCGGAUGAGUUCGUCGCGGAAAUGGAGCCCCGGUUCCAAGCCGCGUUUAAAGCUAUGGAGGAGUUGGAAAAAGGUUCCAUCGCCAAUCCCGAUGAAGGACGGAUGGUGGGCCACUAUUGGUUGAGGAACUCUAAGCUCGCGCCAAAUUCGUUUUUGCAAGCACAGAUUGAUAAAACUCUCGACGCCGUUUGUAAGUUCGCUGAUGACGUCAUCAGCGGUAAGAUUAAGCCUCCGUCUUCUCCAGAGGGUCGUUUUACUCAAAUACUCUCUGUUGGGAUUGGAGGUUCGGCUCUGGGUCCACAAUUCGUCGCCGAGGCAUUGGCUCCUGAUAAUCCUCCUCUAAAGAUAAGAUUUAUUGAUAAUACAGAUCCCGCUGGAAUAGAUCAUCAGAUUGCACAGCUUGGUCCUGAGCUGGCUUCUACCCUUGUAAUCGUGAUUUCAAAGAGUGGAGGUACCCCAGAAACUAGGAAUGGUCUGUUGGAAGUUCAAAAAGCCUUCCGUGAAGCUGGUCUGGAUUUUUCAAAGCAGGGCGUAGCUAUAACACAAGAAAAUUCUUUGUUGGACAACACAGCGAGGAUUGAGGGUUGGGUUGCCAGAUUCCCUAUGUAUGAUUGGGUUGGUGGCAGGACAUCUGAAAUGUCUGCUGUAGGUCUACUUCCAGCAGCACUUCAGGGAAUUGAAAUAAGAGAGAUGCUAGUUGGUGCAUCUAUGAUGGACAACGCCACUAGGAGCACAGUGCUCAGGGAUAAUCCUGCAGCAUUGCUUGCUCUAUGUUGGUAUUGGGCAUGUGAUGGGGUUGGAUCUAAGGAUAUGGUUGUCCUUCCUUACAAGGACAGCUUAUUACUUUUUAGUAGGUACUUACAGCAGCUGGUUAUGGAAUCACUCGGCAAGGAGUUUGACCUGGAUGGUAAUCGGGUAAAUCAAGGAAUAUCUGUUUAUGGGAAUAAAGGAAGCACAGAUCAGCAUGCCUAUAUUCAACAGCUGAGGGAGGGUGUGCAUAAUUUCUUUGUGACAUUCAUUGAAGUAUUACGUGAUAGACCCCCUGGUCAUGAUUGGGAACUUGAACCAGGUGUUACAUGUGGUGACUACCUGUUUGGAAUGCUACAGGGAACAAGAUCAGCUCUGUAUGGAAAUGACCGGGAGUCCAUCACUGUCACUGUCCAAGAGGUGACACCCAGAUCUGUUGGGGCUCUUGUAGCACUUUAUGAGCGAGCAGUUGGACUUUAUGCCUCACUUGUCAACAUUAAUGCUUACCAUCAACCAGGUGUGGAAGCUGGGAAAAAAGCAGCAGGCGAAGUAUUAGCUCUACAGAAGCGGGUUUUAGCAGUACUCAAUGAGGCCAGGUUAGAUGGCAGAUGAUUAUGAUCUGUUUAUGGUGCAAUUUAUCUGGAAGUCUCCCAUGCCAUUAUAUGUCAGAUGCUUGUCCUUUAGGGAAGCAACAUACCUUCUAUGGAUGGAUUGUAUUGCCCUUGCAAGUCAGAGUUGAAGAAAGUUACAUAACUGGAAAGUCUUUUAGAUUUCAGCUACUGAUAUUCUCUCUCAUUUUCUGGUCUUCUAGCCUAUCUUUCUCUCUCUUCCUCUUCUUUGGUUCAAAUGCUUGAUGACUCCGAUGGAGUUCCUUUUUCAUGCAGUGUUUUUUUUUUACCAUCUUUCAUUGGACUUGGGGUGGAUGAAUGUGCAUGUGCUGUUUUUCUGCUGA